rnacentral:rRNA from 1 species
GACGAACCGUGCGAGCGUUGUUCGGAAUCACUGGGCUUAAAGGGCGCGUAGGCGGCCGGGUUGGUCGUGGGUGAAAUCCCCCAGCUUAACUGGGGAAUUGCCUACGAUACUGCCUGGCUCGAGGGAGGAAGGGGCGGCCGGAACUAUCGGUGGAGCGGUGAAAUGCGUUGAUAUCGAUAGGAACUCCGGUGGCGAAGGCGGCAUACUGGACCACAUCUGACGCUGAGGCGCGAAAGCCAGGGGAGCGAACGGG